rnacentral:rRNA from 1 species
UACGAAGGACCCAAGCGUUAUCCGGAUUUAUUGGGUUUAAAGGGUGCGUAGGCGGAUCAUUAAGUCAGUGGUGAAAGCUCCCGGCUCAACCGGGAAAUUGCCAUUGAUACUGGUGGUCUUGAGUGUGGUUGAGGUGGGCGGAAUGUGUCAUGUAGCGGUGAAAUGCUUAGAUAUGACACAGAACACCGAUUGCGAAGGCAGCUCACUAAGCCAUUACUGACGCUGAUGCACGAAAGCGUGGGGAGCAAACAGG